AGCUUUCUGAAUCCAUGCAGAGAUUUCUUCAAACACUAACCCAUUAGGGCUGAUCAGACUUCCAAGUUAAGUGAAGUU
rfam:Schistosoma mattheei strain Denwood, Zambia genome assembly, scaffold: SMTD_scaffold0000618